rnacentral:rRNA from 2 species
GGAUAACUCCGGGAAACCGGGGCUAAUACCGGAUGGUUGUUUGAACCGCAUGGUUCAGACAUAAAAGGUGGCUUCGGCUACCACUUACAGAUGGACCCGCGGCGCAUUAGCUAGUUGGUGAGGUAACGGCUCACCAAGGCGACGAUGCGUAGCCGACCUGAGAGGGUGAUCGGCCACACUGGGACUGAGACACGGCCCAGACUCCUACGGGAGGCAGCAGUAGGGAAUCUUCCGCAAUGGACGAAAGUCUGACGGAGCAACGCCGCGUGAGUGAUGAAGGUUUUCGGAUCGUAAAGCUCUGUUGUUAGGGAAGAACAAGUGCCGUUCAAAUAGGGCGGCACCUUGACGGUACCUAACCAGAAAGCCACGGCUAACUACGUGCCAGCAGCCGCGGUAAUACGUAGGUGGCAAGCGUUGUCCGGAAUUAUUGGGCGUAAAGGGCUCGCAGGCGGUUUCUUAAGUCUGAUGUGAAAGCCCCCGGCUCAACCGGGGAGGGUCAUUGGAAACUGGGGAACUUGAGUGCAGAAGAGGAGAGUGGAAUUCCACGUGUAGCGGUGAAAUGCGUAGAGAUGUGGAGGAACACCAGUGGCGAAGGCGACUCUCUGGUCUGUAACUGACGCUGAGGAGCGAAAGCGUGGGGAGCGAACAGGAUUAGAUACCCUGGUAGUCCACGCCGUAAACGAUGAGUGCUAAGUGUUAGGGGGUUUCCGCCCCUUAGUGCUGCAGCUAACGCAUUAAGCACUCCGCCUGGGGAGUACGGUCGCAAGACUGAAACUCAAAGGAAUUGACGGGGGCCCGCACAAGCGGUGGAGCAUGUGGUUUAAUUCGAAGCAACGCGAAGAACCUUACCAGGUCUUGACAUCCUCUGACAAUCCUAGAGAUAGGACGUCCCCUUCGGGGGCAGAGUGACAGGUGGUGCAUGGUUGUCGUCAGCUCGUGUCGUGAGAUGUUGGGUUAAGUCCCGCAACGAGCGCAACCCUUGAUCUUAGUUGCCAGCAUUCAGUUGGGCACUCUAAGGUGACUGCCGGUGACAAACCGGAGGAAGGUGGGGAUGACGUCAAAUCAUCAUGCCCCUUAUGACCUGGGCUACACACGUGCUACAAUGGACAGAACAAAGGGCAGCGAAACCGCGAGGUUAAGCCAAUCCCACAAAUCUGUUCUCAGUUCG